rnacentral:rRNA from 1 species
UACGAAGGGGGCUAGCGUUGCUCGGAAUCACUGGGCGUAAAGGGUGCGUAGGCGGGUUUUUAAGUCAGGGGUGAAAUCCUGGAGCUCAACUCCAGAACUGCCUUUGAUACUGAAGAUCUUGAGUCCGGGAGAGGUGAGUGGAACUGCGAGUGUAGAGGUGAAAUUCGUAGAUAUUCGCAAGAACACCAGUGGCGAAGGCGGCUUUCUGGGCCUUACCUGACGCUGAGACGCGAAAGCGUGGGGAGCGAACCGG